AAAUAUUUGCCCCUGUGCUGACGACGCCGAGGCCCCAGAGGAAGAUGCGGAGGUGAUGAUGAGGAGGAAGAGGCUGUUUUGGGGGCCACCAGCGAUGCUCUCUUGCAGAACCAACUACCUACUGAGGUUUCUGCCCUGCAGGAGGUAGCACCACACCUUGAUUACUUUUAACAGCAUCCGUCCACAGCCAACCCUGUAAACCGUGAAGAUGGACGAUGCAGUCUACAGUGAAGAUGCAUCCUGAAACUCUGCAGACCAUCCUGCAAGAUGUUCCAAUCACCACCCAGAAAGUUCCAUCCCUGUGUCUCAGUUGCAGCCCCCCCAUCAAUGUUGACCAUCUUUGUAAAUAGUUAGAAGUCAAAGUCUUACAAUGACUGACGAUUACUGUGUUGGAUUUAUACCUUUAUUUAUAUUAGAAAAGCAAACAUUUUAAUACAUCAAAUAUAAACUUCAUUUAUUCUCAGAAAUCAAAUGUGGUUAUUUGUUGGCAUUUUUUUCCAGGAGACUAAAGUUGGUCAAAAGUCUCCCUCCUCUCUCGUGCGCUCUGCUCUUCUGCCUCAUGUCCUCUCUGAUCAGGUCUAGAAGCUCAUCACUAGUCACGUUUCCAUUAACUCUGAGAUUUCGCAAAUUGGAAUUUUGAUACAUUCUCCUAAUGGAAACCACAAUUCCAAAAAAAAAAAAAAAAAAAAAAACGUUUUUGCCCUUAGAGGGGGUGGUAUU